rnacentral:lncRNA from 1 species
GGCUUAGUCAAGGCUGGAAUUGACUGCCGCCCAGUGAUGAACCUCGUGUAGAAUUCGAGCGAAAUAAAUCACAGGGUUACAGGGCUAAUUUUAGCACAAUUGACGCUGCGCGGCAGUAGCCAAACUCUCAGCCACUAAACCUUACUUUUUCGCACACAGUUUGACACUUAGAAUUAUUUGAGACUUGUAAAACAUAAGCAACACACCGCAGUGACGGGUAAAACCCAACCUUUAUUCAAUUCUCGCAGAAUGUACAAAAGGAAACUCAGUUGGAAGGCUCACAUAAAAGUUUAUAAUAAAAUAGUACGAGUUGUAAAAGCGUAAGAGCUAUAUAGAACCACCUUUGGCCGGUCUCACAUCUUCCCAUCCUCUACUUAGUUGUCUCAAUUACAUCGAUCCUGAACUACGUCCAUCCAAGUAUUCUUGCCCUUACCCUUUCGGUCGAGCACAACCUCCCGAGCGCUAGGUUCAAGCAACUUCAUACCACUUCGUCCCUUUCACUCUUCAACCUGAUCUCUACAUUCAUAGCUUGAAAAAGCAAAAGAGGGUCACCGUCACCUCUCUUAAUGACUAUUCUUAAGCUUCCUUUCUUUGGGAGUAGGAUCUCUUUCCUAGGAGCUCAUAGAAAGAUAGCGAAGUCAGAUAGUUCUUUCUUGCUUUCCUUCUAUCUUUCUUUCUAUUUCAAAGCUUGUGCUUUGGUUCAGAUCACUGCUUACUUACUUGACUUGCNNNNNNNNNNNNNNNNNNNNNNNNNNNNNNNNNNNNNNNNNNNNNNNNNNNNNNNNNNNNNNCGUAAGAGCUAUAUAGAACCACCUUUGGCCGGUCUCACAUCUUCCCAUCCUCUACUUAGUUGUCUCAAUUACAUCGAUCCUGAACUACGUCCAUCCAAGUAUUCUUGCCCUUACCCUUUCGGUCGAGCACAACCUCCCGAGCGCUAGGUUCAAGCAACUUCAUACCACUUCGUCCCUUUCACUCUUCAACCUGAUCUGUUGCCUAUGGGAGAUUACAAAGGGCGGUUACAUAAGGCAGUUAUAUAAUGUGCCCUGCACAUGCUAAGCCUAAACAAGCGUAACUACUUAGUCAUAAUUCGAAUUCAAACUUUCCCACGAAAUGGAUCCCUCUCCAGCUCUUUGGCCAACUGUAAUAUGUGCAUUGCACAUGGCUAAACUUCUACAGCACAUGCACAACACACUACUUCAAAGUCACAUGACUUGCACACUUGUUCCACAGCUUUUGCCCACACUUUGCCUUCCUGCCCUGCCUUAUCUUUGGACCAUGCCUCGCUCAUAAGCUCAUGACAAUGUCUUGUCACAAUCUUUACCGUCCUACUGAUCCGUACCAAUGCCUUAGCCAAGUCCAAUGCGCUUUCGGUUGCCAUAUUCAUCGCCCACAAUCAAGGCUGCCUUGCCAACACUCAACACACCUUGUCUAGCUGACCUGCUCAAGUCAAUGCACUAAUUUAGGCACGCUCCUAGCUCUGCGUAUUGCUUGCCAUCGCCCGCACGAACCUAUGCCAAGGGGAAAUAUACAAGCCCUUAACAUUGGUUCUCCCCGACAUCCGUAUAUCUCAAUAUUAGGGGCUAAAAAACCACCCCCACUAGUUGAACUCGUUGCCCUCGUCGAGGCUAAUUUCAAGUAGUCCUCAGUUUGUUAUUCAUAUUGCCACAAUGAAGCACCAUUUUCCCAAGUCGCAUCUGCCUCAGGCUUUCCCUUCUAUUGAACAAGUA